CUACGGGUGGCAGCAGUCGGGAAACUUCUGCAAUACGCGCAAGCGUGACAGAGCAAGCCAGAGUGCUUUCCUAUAAUUGGAAGGCUUUUAUGAGAUGUAAAAAGUCUCAUGAAUAAGGACUGGGCAAAACCGGUGCCAGCCGCCGCUGGUAAUACCGGUGGUCCAAGUGGCAGCCGCUUUUAUUGGGUCUAAAACAUCCGUAGCUUGCUUGGUAAGUUUCUUGUGAAAUCUGACAUCUUAAGUGUCGGGCGUGCAAGAGAUACUGCCUCGCUAGAGACCGGGAGACGUAAGGAGUACAUGUAGGGUAGCGGUUAAAUGCACUGAUCCUACGUGGACUAACGACAGCGAAGGCACCUUACGAGAACGGAUCUGACAGUGAGGGAUGAAGGCUAGGGUCGCAAAACGGAUUAGAUACCCUUGUAGUC
rnacentral:rRNA from 1 species